rnacentral:tRNA from 1 species
GCCCGGCUGGCUCAGUCGGUAGAGCAUGUGACUCUUAAUCUCAGGGUCCUAGGUUCAAGCCCCAUACUGGGCA